ensembl:lncRNA
CAGCACCCCGUGCUCCGGUGGAGGCCUGUCUGUCUGCUGUGGUUUACAGGCCCCACGAGAGACACCGUCACGUCUGUCUGUGUCUGGGUUGUUUCACUCACCUGAGGCCCUAACGGCUGCACGUUCUCCUUCCCCGCCGAGUAGUGUCCCGUCGUGCGUGUGUGAACACCCUGCGUCUGCACUGGCCCACCCCUCACGGACACCUGGGCCUGCGGCCGCGGCUGCUGUGAACGAAGCUGAGGCGACCGUGGACAUGCGGACACUGGGCCGAGUCUGUGUUGCCGUUCAGGGUUUGCCCAAACCUAACAGCAUCCCUAAUGGGACAGUCUCAGUCAGCAAGAGACUCCGGCUGACUCCAAACCAGACCCUCAGACACCUGCUUUUCACCGAGGCAGUUGUGUACAGUCCUGGGGGCCUCGAACCUCAGACCCUGCGGCCACCACAGCCAGGACCUGCGCCCAGUGGCAGUCAAAACUAGGGCCAUAGAGGUGAAUCCAAGGCCACAGCUGUAAGCCGGGGCCACUGACGUUCCAGGGAUGGACAUGUCUGUGUCUGGGAGACCAUUACUCUGCCUCCCACAUGACCAGAAAGUUGAUUCCCUGAGUGUUACAGGACCUUGAAGCAGUUUGCCGAGCUUCUGAAUGUCAGAGCUCUGCUUCUAGCCCACCGUGUUCCUGAAGCAAGAGGACUCAUGCCUGGUGCUUGCUGAGCUCCGGCAUGCCCCACAACUGUCUGCUCUGUCAGACUGCACUCUUGCCUGGAAAAUACCAUGGUGGGCUGCAAUCCAUGGGGUCGCAAAGAGUCGAACAUGACUGAGGACUUCACUUUCAUACAUUGGAGAAGGAAAUGGCAACCCACUGCAAUGUUCUUGCCUGGAUAAUCCCAGGGACGGAGGAGCCUGGUAGGCUGCAGUCCAUGGUGUCAUGAAGAGUCGGACACGACUGAGCAGCUUCACAAUGACUGUAUAACAUGCAGCUGAAGACUAGCAGGGGGGUGCCCUUUCUGCCCCCUUCUGAUGCCUAUGUCAGAAGCUUUAUCUGACUCCUUUAUACUUUAAUAAAAC